AGUGAACGCUGGCGGUAGGCCUAACACAUGCAAGUCGAACGGCGGCACAGUAAGAGCUUGCUCUUACGGGUGGCGAGUGGCGGACGGGUGAGGAAUACAUCGGAAUCUACUUUUUCGUGGGGGAUAACGUAGGGAAACUUACGCUAAUACCGCAUACGACCUACGGGUGAAAGCAGGGGAUCUUCGGACCUUGCGCGAUUGAAUGAGCCGAUUUCGGAUUAGCUAGUUGGCGGGGUAAAGGCCCACCAAGGCGACGAUCCGUAGCUGGUCUGAGAGGAUGAUCAGCCACACUGGAACUGAGACACGGUCCAGACUCCUACGGGAGGCAGCAGUGGGGAAUAUUGGACAAUGGGCGCAAGCCUGAUCCAGCCAUACCGCGUGGGUGAAGAAGGCCUUCGGGUUGUAAAGCCCUUUUGUUGGGAAAGAAAAGCAGCAGGUUAAUACCCCGCUGUUCUGACGGUACCAAAAGAAUAAGCACCGGCUAACUUCGUG
rnacentral:rRNA from 1 species